AGCCCCGAGGUGUUAUCAUAACGGAUUGCAAAUCCGGAGUCGCAGGCUAACACCUGCCGGGGCUU
rnacentral:tRNA from 1 species